UGGACUGCCCCCCCUGCCCCCCAGGCUUUUACUGCAAUAUUAGUGCUCUCACCACUCCCUCAGGACCUUGUUCUGCUGGCCACUUCUGUUCAUCUGGAGCCACAGAACCUAGACCAGUCGCUCAGACAUAUGGAGACAUCUGCCCAGCAGGGUAUUACUGCCCUAAACAGAGCAGUGCUCCUUUACCCUGUCCUGUUGGCCACUUCCUGCAAAAUAAGGGAGCCUCUUCUUAUACUGCCUGCUCCACAUGCCCUCCGGGCAGGUACUGCCUUGCAUUUGGCUCCUCCCAACCAUCGGGUUUUUGCUCUCCUGGACACUACUGCACAGGCGGUGCAGAUACUGCAGCACCAAAAGCCAAAGCUGUUCAGUUGACAUGCUUCUGUGACCUCUUGCCAGAGUCCAGACACAGAGAGUAUUAUCUGUGUGCUCAGAGAUACAGUACCACCUGCACAGCUCAUAGCACAGAAAGUGGAAUAAGAAACAGCAUGAGUGAGAACUCCAGGCUUUCCUCAGAUUUAGCACUGACUAAACCUAAUUCAAAAAUAGCUCUGGAAGUCACGCAAGCUCUAUGCAAUGACUUCACAGGAGACAUUUGCCCUGUAGGUUUUUACUGCCCUGUGGGCUCAUCCUUGCCUCAGCUCUGUAAUGCAGGCUCUCACUGUAAUCAGACUGGCCUUCAUGCACCUGUUGGUUUUUGCCCUGAUGGUUUCUACUGCCCUAAAGGCUCCUCAGAUCCUUAUGCUACACCCUGUCCUCCUGGACAUUACUGUCCCAAAGGCACGGUCAUACCCCUGCCCUGCCUGCCAGGCACAUUGAGAAGCUCUGCUGGAGGAGUGAGAAUAGAGGACUGUUUGUUCUGCCCAUCUGGAUAUUUUUGUGACCAGAAAGGUCUAACAGAGCCCAGUGGCCUGUGCUCUGAGGGAUAUUACUGUCCUGUAGGGCAGAACUCAUCUCAGCCUCCAGAGCAUAAAUGUAGAGCAGGUCACUACUGCGAAGAGGGAAGUAUGAGUGGCAGAGCAUGCCCUUUGGGCAGCUACCAGCCCAGGAAAGGACAACAGAAAUGCGAGAUGUGCCCUGCUGGUUUCUCCUGCCCUCAUGAAGGUAUGACACACACAGUCCCAUGCAAGCCGGGGUUUUAUUGUCCAGCAUGGUCUGCUAUUGACAAGCCAUGUCCAGCGGGGACUUAUGGAAACCAGUCUGGGUUAACUGAACUAUCCGAGUGCACUUUGUGUGAUCCAGGCUCAUACUGUGCAGGAGCAGGUAACGUUUCACCCACUGGUCUGUGUAUGGCCGGCUUCUUGUGUUUUGGAGGAGCUUCUCUGCCAUCUCCUGUAGACAAUGUGACAGGAAUGCAAUGUCCACCUGGAUUCUACUGUCUCACUGGGAGCUUUACUGCAACACCCUGCCCCAAAGGCACUUUCAGCGUGCUGCGCGGAUUGACAGAACUAGGGCAGUGCCAAAGUUGCUCCCCAGGGUUCUAUUGUUCAAUAGUAGGCCUGACUGCAGUUAGCGGACCUUGCCUGCCAGGUUUUUACUGCAGUGAGGGAUCGCCUAGCGCAGCCCCUGUGUCUGCUGUGUUUGGUGAUGUUUGUCCUCCAGGUUAUUACUGUGAGAGUGGCAGCGCUGUGCCCACGCCCUGCCCGGUGGGCACUCACAAUUCUGAGAGUGGUGGAAAGGGUGCAGAGGACUGCAUGCCUUGCCCUGAUGGGCUGUUCCAGGAUCUGAAAGGCCAAAGAGAGUGUAAACCUUGUCCUCCUGGAUUCUACUGCCCCGCAUCCACCCAGAAAUCUAAUGUCAGCAGCACUCCAUUGAUCUGUCCAGAGGGCUAUUAUUGUCCUAAUGAAACACGGCUAGGCAGGCCUGUCCCUUGCCCCAGAGGCACAUACAGUAAUACCCGAGGCCUUUCAGCAGAUGAGUGCGUGGUCUGUCCAGUGGGCUAUUUCUGUGGUGCACAUGCACUUGUCCAGCCAUCUGGGCCGUGUGCCCCUGGAUUCCUCUGCUUUUUGCGUGCCACAGUUCCCAACCCCAGUGACAACAAAACAGGAGCUCUUUGUCCACCAGGGGCAUACUGCCAGCUGGGAGUCAGAACUGGUGACUGUUCUCCAGGCUACUACUGUGACUGGGGAUCUAGUAGCCCAGAAGAGAGACUCUGCCCAGCAGGUUUUUAUUGCCUAGCUGGCACAGACAAACCCAUUGCCUGUGGCCCAGGGACAUUCAGCUCAGUCAUGGGGAACAGUGACAGAGAAAACUGUGAACCAUGCCCAGCAGGCUACUUCUGUCAGGAUGAACUCUACUGGAAAUAACAUGUGCCCUCCUGGUCACUACUGCCCCGCUGGCACUAGCUACCCUCUACCAUGCCCUCCUGGAUCAUUCUCAAGCUCUCCAGGGUUAAGCAUUGUAGAGAAGUGCCAGUCCUGCCCACCAGGCUACUUCUGUGAGCAUCCUGCAAUGGUAUGUAUGCCUUGGAGGUAGUCGCAGUUCACGCCCAGUUGAUGGACUGGAGGGUUAUAUUUGUCCCAGUGGCUACAGUUGCCCCAUUGGUACCCCAGUGGAAAUGCCAUGUGAGCCUGGCACUUAUAGCAGUGCCCCUGGAGCUGCUCAUUGUCUUUCCUGUCCAUCAGGUACCAUGUGCCCUUCCUCAGCCACUCAAG
ensembl:lncRNA